UACGAAGGGUGCAAACGUUGCUCGGAAUUAUUGGGCGUAAGCGCACGUAGGCGGCUUGGCAAGUCGGAUGUGAAAUCCCUCGGCUCAACCAAGGAAGUGCAUCCGAAACUGCCGAGCUUGAGUACUUAAGAGGAUCGCGGAAUUCCCGGUGUAGAGGUGAAAUUCGUAGAUAUCGGGAGGAACACCAGUGGCGAAGGCGGCGAUCUGGGAGGAUACGUGACGCUGAGGUGCGAAAGCGUGGGAGCAAACAGG
rnacentral:rRNA from 1 species